ensembl:lncRNA USP2-AS1 USP2 antisense RNA 1
AGCCUUGGAAACUUUCAAAAUCCUACAUCUCUGAUAGUCAUAUGAAAAAGUGCUCAACAUCCUUAGUCAUGGGGAAAUGCAAACUGAAUCAUAAUAACAUACCACUAUGCCCUUGCCAGAAAGACUAAAAGAUAAAAGGACGGAUGGCACCAAGAGUGGGCGAGAAGCAGAGCCAUGGGAACUCUCAUACGCUGUUGGUGGGAGCGACAUUGGCACAACCACUCUGGAACACUGAUUGUAUCUACUAACCCUAGUUCCACUCCCAGCAGAAAUGAGGGUGAUGGACCCCAAAGUUACAUACAAGAAUGUUUGUAGCAACUUUAAUUGUCCCAGCCUGGAGACUGCUCACAUCCCCACUGAUGGUACAAGAGAGAGGCACACUGUGGCCUUUUCACACUUUGGGAUAAUAAUACACAGCAAUGGACAACAGACCUCAUGGGUGAGGCUCACAGACAUCAUGUUGACUGAAAGAGCUGCAAAAAUAGUAUACUCGAUUGUAUUCUAUGAAUAGAAUAGACUAGGUAUGACUCCAUUUCUGUGAAGUUCCAGAAUGGGGGUCAUGCCUGGGAGGGCACAUGAAUGACUCACAGUCUUGAUCCGGGGGUGGUGACAUGGGUGUGUACAAAUGGAACUGAAGCCCUAAGAUCUACGCACUUCACAGUUGUUACCGUAUUCCUCAAUAAAAAAGCUUGAAAAUGAAAAAUAACAAAGUACCAAAACCUUACACAGGAUCCCGGCAAGUAAAAAUGAUCACGGUUGAGACCUAUCCUCUCGCUUCCUAUGUCAGGUGGCUCCCGGGGCAUUUCUGUGGAUUAAACUGUAGAAGGCACUGGAAGCCUUUGCUCCGGGGUGAAUGUGGCCUCACAUUCCUGCAGCUGGCCUCAGUGUCCCCUGCAGGAGGGUGGCCCGGCGCGGGGAUCCCAACCCAGCCCUGCCCUGAGGGACACAUCCCCGUUCCUCCAGACCCGCGCCCCUCCAACAGGCUGGUGGGUCGUGGUGCGAGACGACGUCAAUCAGAGAGAAAAUAAAGGAGUGGUGCGCACCACGUAGCCAGGAAGGCACAGAGCUGGGAUCCUACCUGGAACUUGGCAAGUGUCUUACUUCUUGAUGUUGUUUCCAUGACGAGUUCUGUUUCCCUGCUUAGGGCAGAUACCCAGUGGUGAAAAUAACAAUAAGUAAGAAUACUAUCCUAGUUCAACGCAGCUGAGCGCUCAGUCUGUUCUAGGUGUUCUGUUGAGUGCUUUACAAGGAGUCAAUUCUCCUUUAAUCCUUACAGCCGUCGGUGGCAAGUAUCCCUAUUACCUGUUUUACAAAUACUCCAUAUAUGAACUAUCUUUAUUCAUCCCAGCAGUCUACUCACGUAGAUUGAGAAAUAAAAUUCAGGGAAGGCAGGCACCUUGCUGAAGGUCUGCAGAGCUGAUAGGUGGUGGAACAAGGGAUUGAUCAAGGUCAGUUUGACUCUAAAGCCCUGUCUCUUUCCUUUCACCAGGUUUUCUAUAAAUGUCUGCUGUGGACUGAACUGAUGGAAUAAGCAUCCAAAAGGAAUGCCACCGGCUGAAAUGCUGACCCUCAUCACCAAGAUAAAACAUUGCAGGGAUGCAUGAAAAUUACAUUUGGGGAGUAAAUAGGCAGCCCAAGUACAGAGUGAAGAAGACCUGCUUAGAGGUGGCACACAUGAAAACAACUCAAAGGUGCCCAGGGAACAAGCGCCUAUAGGUGGUCUAAACCCCAAAAACCUGCUUCACGAGGAUUACGGGUGUGGCUCCAUCCUGCCCCCUACUUGCCUCAGGUGGUGACCUCCAUUGCAGUCACUGUCAUCCGGGAUCCCAAGUCUCACAGAUCUCUGUCUGGAGAACUCCUGCACAUCCUUCAAGGCCCAGGUGAAAUGUCGCUUCAGAUCCUCCCAAACACAAUGACCCACUCCCGUCCUGUGCUACCCCAGCGCUUUACACACAGCUCUGCGACAGCCUGUGGCCAUUUUGGAAUUGGGGAUACCCAGCGUUCGGAAUUCCUUAGAGCUGGGAUGCUGGGUGUGGCUGUCACAGCAUUGCAGUGCCAGAGUGGCC